rnacentral:lncRNA from 1 species
CACUUUUAAAAAGUGUUGCUAUAUGUGGGGUCGCUAGGUAUAUAGUGACAGUUAAAGAGUGUCGCUAUAACCUAAAAAAGUGCUGCUAAUUUACCAACACUUAUUUAAGCAUUUAGCAACCGCCGAAACUCUAUCUCGUUGGCUGCGAUGGCGGAGGAGGACGACAGGAAAGGCUCUUCGUCUAGAAUUUCAGUGGAUUAAGUGAAGAGAGAAGAAAAGAUGGUAAUUGAUUUUUCUUUUUUUUUUUCUUUUCUGUUUGUAAUCGGGCCAAAUGGACUGGGUGUGGUGGGUUGAGUAGAGUAAUCUUUUAUUUUUGGUUGGAUUGGGCUUUAUAUUUAGGCAUUAGUAGAUACUUUUUUAAGUUUUAGGAUAAAUGGAAUACUUACUCAAAAGUGUCCCAAACAUGUGUCCCUAUAAUCUAAUUCUGUUGUAGUGAUCUCUAGUUCCUGACUCGUCAAACCAAGUUUCAAUUUAGUCCUCAAACUUUCAAGUCCGAUGUUACAUGUCUAAAGUAUUAUUAAUUAGUAUGUACAUUUACUGUUAGAGGAUCAAUUAUUGGCCAGAUGCAGUGUAGAUAUAUAUACAUUGUGUACGUACCACGCAUUUAUUUAUCGAUCACCAAUUGCAUGCAUUACUAUUUAAUUUCUCUGUGAAGUAUUGAACUAAAUGUAUGGUAGAUCGAUAAAUUUAUAGUGUUCAGAUGACAUUGAAAAUUCGGCAUCUCUCAUAUAUAUCGUAUUAAAAAAAAUUAAAAUUCAUGCACAAAAAUUAAGUCCAGGAACUAACUAGUAGUGCAAUUUAUCUCUUUCAUUUUGGUCCCUAAUAUCUUUUAAGGUACCGAUUGGUUCAGAAAUUAAUAAGCUACUGUCGCUUAUAUAUAUCUAGUAUAUAUAGAUACUACAAUUGUGUUUGGAUGAGAUUUUAGUUUUUCUGAGUAAUAUAACAAAUUGUGUUUACAUAGUUAGAUUGAAAUGACAGGAAUAAAGAUACCUAUAUAUUUUUUUAAUCUAAAGAAACUGCUAUGAAAGUGUUAAUAAAAUUAUAGUUUGAUAAGUUAAUUAAUUAAUUAACUAUGAAUAUUAUAUAAGAUGAUGGAGAAGCACUUUAAUUAGUUAGUUAACUGUGAAAAAUAAGUUAAUAUGUUAAAUCCGUUAUAUAUUCGAUCAACCGAUAAAUUAAUUGUACAAGUUAAUAUAAAUAUUAGUUUAAUCACUACAACAAAAACGGUUUAUAGUGACACUUUUAAAUAUCGGUACAGGUAAAAAAAAAAUAUUGCUGGCUAAAUUACCGACACUUUUAGAAAGUGUUGCUAUAUGUGGGAUCGCUAGGUAUAUGGUGAUAGUUAAAAAGUAUCGCUAUAAGCUAAAAAGAAUGCUGCUAAUUUACCAACACUUAUUUAAGCAUUUAGCAACAGCCGGAAUUCUACCUCGUUGCUGUGAUGGGGGAGGAGGAGGAGAGGGAAGGGCUCUUCGUCUAGAAUUUCAGUGGAUUGAGUGAGGGGAGAAGGAGAGAUGGUAAUCAAUUUUCCUUUUUUUUUUUCUUUUCUGUUUGUAAUCGGGCCAAACGGGUUGGAUGGGGUGGGUUAACUAGAGUAACCUUUUAUUUUUUGUUGGAUUGGGUUUUAUAUUUAGGCAUUAGUAUAUUUUUUAAAAAAUUUUGGCAUAAAUGGGACACUUACACAAAAGUGUUCCAAACAUGUAUCCCUAUAACCUAAUUUUAUUGUAGUGAAUAUUUAAUAUUUGGACAAGUAUAUUAGAUAAUUAAUUAAAAAUUAGCUACUUGAUUAUAAAUAAUAAGUUAAUGCCUGCUUCUAAUAAUUAAUUAAUAAAUAAUACUUUUUAAUUAUUUAUAGCUGAAUUAGUAGAGGAAUAAAAAUAUAGAAUAGUACAUUCAUAGAAAUGCAUAACUUUUAGUUAUUUUUUCGAAGAAUAAAGGGUAUAU